AGCAUACAAUCGGGUGUUUAGAAAAAGGCAAAAUUUAUGAUGGGGAACAAUAACACCCAUAAUGUGUUUAAACUUCGUUUCUUUUCUUUGAGAUCAACUUUCCUGGUCAAUCAAGAGAAACCAUAACAAGAUUCCACACAACUAGAAGGUGGUGAGAGAAAGGCUCUAAAAGAAGUUGCCAAAAACCAGACUUCGCUGGAGAGAGGACUCAGCAACUUGAUUUAGCAACCUCCCCAAACUGCACACAGCAGAGGAUAGGCAAUUUCUCACAUGGAAAUUGUGGAGUGUUAGAAAGGACUCAUUGGUUCCAGUAACUGCCUUCACCCUUCGGGGCCACACUUUCAUGUGCCAGACCCAGUGGAGCUGUGUUAACAUUAACACAAUCCCCCUGACAGAAAAUCAGAUCAAUCGUAAGCCGGUUCUUUACUGAGGUAAACAGCUUUAAGGGUUGACUGGAAACCCACUUGACAAAAUAAAUAUAUAUUUGUUACCUUAGCCUUGUCUAUC
rnacentral:lncRNA from 1 species